CGUAGGUGGCGAGCGUUGUCCGGAAUUACUGGGUGUAAAGGGCGUGUAGGCGGGACUGUAAGUCAGAUGUGAAAUUCCAGGGCUUAACCCUGGAGCUGCAUCUGAAACUAUGGUUCUUGAGUGCUGGAGAGGAAAGCGGAAUUCCUAGUGUAGCGGUGAAAUGCGUAGAUAUUAGGAGGAACACCAGUGGCGAAGGCGGCUUUCUGGACAGUAACUGACGCUGAGGCGCGAAAGCGUGGGGAGCAAACAGGAUUAGAUACCCUGGUAGUCCACGCUGUAAACGAUGGAUACUAGGUGUAGGAGGUAUCGACCCCUUCUGUGCCGCAGUUAACACAAUAAGUAUCCCACCUGGGGAGUACGGCCGCAAGGUUG
rnacentral:rRNA from 1 species